CGCGUAGGCGGCACCUUAAGUCAGAUGUGAAAACCCGAGGCUCAACUUCGGGCGUGCAUUUGAAACUGGGGAGCUUGAGUGCAGGAGAGGAAAGCGGAAUUCCUAGUGUAGCGGUGAAAUGCGUAGAUAUUAGGAGGAACACCAGUGGCGGAGGCGGCUUUCUGGACUGUAACUGACGCUGAGGCGCGAAAGCGUGGGGAGCAAACAGGAUUAGAUACCCUGGUAGUCCACGCUGUAAACGAUGGAUACUAGGUGUGGGAGGUAUCGACCCCUUCCGUGCCGCAGUAAACGCAAUAAGUAUCCCGCCUGGGGAGUACGGCCGCAAGGUUGAA
rnacentral:rRNA from 1 species